UAGGCAGAGGCCAGUGGGUUUAGGCGUUUAGCUGUUAACUAAAAUUUUGCGGGAUCGAAGCCCGUCUGUCUAG
rnacentral:tRNA from 1 species